ACAUGCAAGUCGAGCGGCAGCACAGGAGAGCUUGCUCUCUGGGUGGCGAGUGGCGGACGGGUGAGGAAUACAUCGGAAUCUACUCUGUCGUGGGGGAUAACGUAGGGAAACUUACGCUAAUACCGCAUACGACCUACGGGUGAAAGCAGGGGACCUUCGGGCCUUGCGCGAUUGAAUGAGCCGAUGUCGGAUUAUCUAGUUGGCGGGGUAAAGGCCCACCAAGGCGACGAUCCGUAGCUGGUCUGAGAGGAUGAUCAGCCACACUGGAACUGAGACACGGUCCAGACUCCUACGGGAGGCAGCAGUGGGGAAUAUUGGACAAUGGGCGCAAGCCUGAUCCAGCCAUACCGCGUGGGUGAAGAAGGCCUUCGGGUUGUAAAGCCCUUUUGUUGGGAAAGAAAUCCAGCUGGCUAAUACCCGGUUGGGAUGACGGUACCCAAAGAAUAAGCACCGGCUAACUUCGUGCCAGCAGCCGCGGUAAUACGAAGGGUGCAAGCGUUACUCGGAAUUACUGGGCGUACAGCGUGCGUAGGUGGUCGUUUAAGUCCGUUGUGAAAGCCCUGGGCUCAACCUGGGAACUGCAGUGGAUACUGGGCGACUAUAAUGUGGUAGAGGGUAGCGGAUUUCCUGGUGUAGCAGUG
rnacentral:rRNA from 1 species